rnacentral:rRNA from 1 species
AUUGAACGCUGGCGGCAGGCCUAACACAUGCAAGUCGAGCGAGCGGCGGACGGGUGAGUAAUGUCUGGGAAACUGCCUGAUGGAGGGGGAUAACUACUGGAAACGGUAGCUAAUACCGCAUACCAUCAGAUGUGCCCAGAUUGGAUUAGCUAGUAGGUGGGGUAAUGACUCACCUAGGCGACGAUCCCUAGCUGGUCUGAGAGGAUGACCAGCCACACUGGAACUGAGACACGGUCCAGACUCCUACGGGAGGCAGCAGUGGGGAAUAUGGCACAAUGGGCGCAAGCCUGAUACAGCCAUGCCGCGUGUGUGAAGAAGGCCUUCGGGUUGUAAAGCACUUUCAGCGGGGAGGCGUUACUCGCAGAAGAAGCACCGGCUAACUCCGUGCCAGCAGCCGCGGUAAUUC